rnacentral:misc_RNA from 1 species
AUCACAGACUUUGUCAAUGACAUCGAGGCUCUAGGUCUCAAGGCCAACCACUGGAUCACGGACGUUCAAAAACUUAUUGACGAAAUUUCCUCUGGCCGCAAUCGCCGAGCAACUUUCAGUAUCGGUGCUUUCAAUGACCACGCUUCCAUCAACGCCUACCUCGACUCGCUGGCUUCUGCCAAUCCUCACGUGACUGUACACACCAUGGGAAAUUCUUACGAGGGCAGAGCUAUCAAAUACGUUAAGAUCAGCAACAACCUCGGCGUCAACAAAAAGGCCAUCUACGCUGACGGUGGAAUCCACGCCAGAGAAUGGCUCGCCGUCACCACAGUCCUCUACUUCAUCGAUCAGAUCGCCAACAAUCCCAGUCGAGACAGAACAAUCGACGCUCUCCUCGGAAAGUUCGAUUUCUACUUUGCUCCUGUGGUAAACCCCGAUGGUUACGAGUACAGUCGAAGCCACGACAGAAUGUGGAGAAAGAACAGACGGCCCGUAAUCAGUGGCUGCAAUGGUGUAGACCUCAACAGGAACUUUGCUUAUCACUGGAACCCUGACAAUGGUGGAAGUCGUAAUCCUUGUGAAGAGGUCCACGCAGGAACUCACGCCACGUCAGAAAUAGAGACCAAACAUCUCCAGAACUUCCUGUGCAGCCAUAGCAACCUGAUCGCCUACCUGAACGUGCACACAUACGGACAAUACUGGAUCUAUCCCUGGGGCUACACGCCUAUCUUACCCACCGAUUACAGGGACUUGGAUCAUCUGGGCCGAUCGGCAGCAACUGCAAUUCGUCACACACACGGGAGGACAUUUACUGUAGGGGAGGACACCCGGGUCCUGUAUGCUGCAGCCGGAGGAGCUGACGAUUAUGCCAAGGGCGCAUGCGGAGUAAAGUAUUCCUACACUGUGGAGCUAAGAGACACCGGCCUACACGGAUUCGUUGCCCCUACCUCCUACAUCAUCCCCGCUGGAGAGGAAACUUUUGCCGGCUUCAAAGCGUUCGCAACAGAGCUUGUACAUUAUGAACAUUUGUAAAAAAAAAAAAAAGUUAUUAAAAAGGGAAUAUUU